CCUACGGGAGGCAGCAGUGGGGAAUAUUGCACAAUGGGGGGAACCCUGAUGCAGCGACGCCGCGUGGGUGAAGGAGUAUUUCGGUAUGUAAAGCCCUAUCAGCAGGGAAGAACAAUGACGGUACCUGACUAAGAAGCACCGGCUAAAUAGGUGCCAGCAGCCGCGGUAAUACGUAGGGUGCAAGCGUUAUCCGGAUUUACUGGGUGUAAAGGGAGCGCAGGCGGCGCGUUAAGCCUGGUGUGAAAGCCCGGGGCGCAACCGCGGGACUGCAUUGGGAACUGGCGGGCUGGAGUGCAGGAGGGGUAGGCGGAAUUCCUAGUGUAGCGGUGAAAUGCGUAGAUAUUAGGAGGAACACCAGUGGCGAAGGCGGCCUACUGGACGGUGACUGACGCUGAGGCUCGAAAGCGUGGGGAGCAAACAGGAUUAGAUACCCCGGUAGUC
rnacentral:rRNA from 1 species